rnacentral:rRNA from 1 species
GACGAACGCUGGCGGCGUGCUUAACACAUGCAAGUCGAACGGUAAGGCCCUUCGGGGUACACGAGUGGCGAACGGGUGAGUAACACGUGGGUGAUCUGCCCUGCACUUCGGGAUAAGCCUGGGAAACUGGGUCUAAUACCGGACAGGACCACUGCCUGCAUGGGUGGUGGUGGAAAGCUUUUGCGGUGUGGGAUGGGCCCGCGGCCUAUCAGCUUGUUGGUGGGGUGAUGGCCUACCAAGGCGACGACGGGCAGCCGGCCUGAGAGGGUGACCGGCCACCCUGGGACUGAGAUACGGCCCAGACUCCUACGGGAGGCAGCAGUGGGGAAUAUUGCACAAUGGGCGCAAGCCUGAUGCAGCGACGCCGCGUGAGGGAUGACGGCCUUCGGGUUGUAAACCUCUUUCAGCACCGACGAAGCGCAAGUGACGGUAGGUGCAGAAGAAGGACCGGCCAACUACGUGCCAGCAGCCGCGGUAA